rnacentral:rRNA from 1 species
UACGAAGGGAGCAAGCGUUGUUCGGAUUUACUGGGCGUAAAGAGUGCGUAGGCGGUUUGGUAAGUUGGAUGUGAAAGCCCCGAGCUUAACUUGGGAACUGCAUUCAAAACUGCCAGGCUUGAGUGUGGAAGAGGAUGGCGGAAUUCCCGGUGUAGAGGUGAAAUUCGUAGAUAUCGGGAAGAACACCUGUGGCGAAGGCGGCCAUCUGGUCCAUAACUGACGCUGAGGCACGAAAGCGUGGGGAGCAAACAGG